ACGGAGUUACAAAGGACGACAUAGACCGAUAUUUUGCGUAAGAGGAUCCAAGAAGGUAAUAAUCCUGUAGUCGAAAAUGUUGUCUCUCUUGAGUGGAUCCUGAGUACGACGGAGCACGUGAAAUUCCGUCGGAAUCUGGGAGGACCAUCUCCUAAGGCUAAAUACUCUCUAGUGACCGAUAGUGAACCAGUACCGUGAGGGAAAGGUGAAAAGCACCCCGGAAGGGGAGUGAAAUAGAACCUGAAACCGUGUGCUUACAAGUAGUCAGAGCCCGUUAAUGGGUGAUGGCGUGCCUUUUGUAGAAUGAACCGGCGAGUUACGAUUUGAUGCAAGGUUAAGCAGUAAAUGUGGAGCCGUAGCGAAAGCGAGUCUGAAUAGGGCGUUUAGUAUUUGGUCGUAGACCCGAAACCAGGUGAUCUACCCUUGGUCAGGUUGAAGUUCAAGGAACACUGAAUGGAAGACCCAACCGACUUACGUUGAAAAGUGAACGGAUGAACUGAGGGUAACCGAAAAAUUCCCAUCCAACCUGGAGAUAACUGGUUCUCUUCCAAAUAAGUUUAAGGCUUACCUCCAGUGAUGAUUAAUGGAAGGUAAACACUGGUUUGGACAAGGGGCCCCUUUCGGGUACCCGAAAUUGGACAAAAUUCCAAAUGCCGUUUAAUUUAACUUGGGAGUCACAACAUGGGUGAUCAUAAGGUCCUUUUUCGAAAGGGAAACAGCCCAACACCACCUCUUAGGGUCCCAAAAAUAUAUGUCUAGGUGAAAAAGGUUUGUGCGUUGCCCAGAAAACAACUAGGAUGUUCGCUUAGAAGAACCCAUCAUUUAAAGAGUGCGUAAUAGCUCACUAGUGGAGUGACACUGCGCCGAAAAUGUACCGGGGCUAAACAUAUUACCGAAGCUGUGGAUUGUCCUUUGGACAAUGGUAGGAGAGCGUUCUAAGGGCGUUGAAGCAUGAUCGUAAGGACAUGUGGAGCGCUUAGAAGUGAGAAUGCCGGUGUGAGUAGCGAAAGACGGGUGAGAAUCCCGUCCACCGAUUGACUAAGGUUUCCAGAGGAAGGCUCGUCCGCUCUGGGUUAGUCGGGUCCUAAGCUGAGGCCCGACAGGCGUAGGCGAUGGAUAACAGGUUGAUAUUCCUGUACCACCUAUAAUCGUUUUAAUCGAUGGGGGGACGCAGUAGAAUAGGCGAAGCGUGCGAUUGGAUUGCACGUCUAAGCAGUAA
rnacentral:rRNA from 1 species